AGCUACAUACAACCGCUCAAACAUAGGUUUUAAGUACAUUAUGUCACCUAUGUAUGGCGUGACUUAUAAAUAGG
rfam:Staphylococcus pseudintermedius strain 063228, complete genome.